CCUACGGGAGGCAGCAGUGAGGAAUAUUGGACAAUGGUCGGGAGACUGAUCCAGCCAUGCCGCGUGCAGGAAGACUGCCCUAUGGGUUGUAAACUGCUUUUGUACGAGAAGAAUAAGGGGUACGUGUACCCUGAUGACGGUAUCGUAGGAAUAAGCAUCGGCUAACUCCGUGCCAGCAGCCGCGGUAAUACGGAGGAUGCAAGCGUUAUCCGGAAUCAUUGGGUUUAAAGGGUCCGUAGGCGGGCUGUUAAGUCAGGGGUGAAAGUUUGCCGCUUAACGGUAAAAUUGCCUUUGAUACUGGCGGUCUUGAAUGUGUGUGAAGUGAUUAGAAUAUGUAGUGUAGCGGUGAAAUGCAUAGAUAUUACAUAGAAUACCGAUUGCGAAGGCAGGUCACUAACACAUUAUUGACGCUGAUGGACGAAA
rnacentral:rRNA from 1 species